ensembl:snRNA U5 U5 spliceosomal RNA
UGCCUCUGGUUUCUCUUCAAAACGCACAAGUCUUUCGCCUUUUACUAAAGACUACCGUGGAGAGGAAUGCUGGCGAGUUGAUAUGAUUUUUGGCAGGCACUGCUUGUGGGCAGUGC